UUAAAUUGUUGAGGAUCUAUUUGCACAUAAAAUUAGAUAUUUAAAUGGUCCAACAUUAAAUGCAAUAGAAAGUAGAAAGUGAUGUUUCAAAUAACAAAAUGAUUUAAACGAAUUUAACUAUAUAAAAAACAAUAUCUAUUUUUCUUGUUUUUUAUUAGUAAUUAAAAUUUCACGUAAAAUUAGCUUUCUUUAAUCUACUAUUAAAAAAAUUAGAGUGUAAAAAUUUAAAGUAUCCAUAUCUUUGAUUUGUAAUUUUAAACCGUAACAGUACAAAUGAUACCAUUUCAACAGUUACAAAUCAUAAAAACGACGUCAAAAGCGUUACUAAAAGUGUUAUUCUCAGCUUUUUGUACUGUUAUCGGUUUAAUCUUCAAACCGCGCAUAUCGUUUUUUCUAUCUCCUAAGAAAAAUAUUGUACGCUUUUAUGUUUACCAACCAAUCUAAGGAAAAAA
rnacentral:sRNA from 1 species